CAAGGCACAUUACUUGUAUAUUCUAAUUAUAUUUGCGCUAUGAGCGCGAAGCAAGAAGAUCAAAGAAUUGGUAAAGUAUAAAUCACAAUUGACAUUAUUACGUACAUAAGCUCUUUUCUAGGAACAUCAACGAUGUGACGUCACAGAAGCAGUGAUGACGUGACAGAAGAACCUGCUUCAAUAUGGUAUGUGACGUCACAGAAGAAGGCGAAACAUGCAAUGACCUUGUUGGAGAGCCACCAAGACAAAGAAUAAAGAGCAAGACGAAGAACAAAGACGGAGACGCCAAUAUAAGGAUCUCGGUUUGAGGUGUUUGUAGGCUUAAGUGUGUAUAGGCCUACUAUAAGUGUGUAUAGGCUUAGUAUAGGGUGUACGCGCGAAGAAAGAAGAUCAAAGACGCCGAUACAGGAUGUCGGUUUCAGGUGGUUUAGGCUUAGUGUUUAAGUAUGAGUGUCUGUGUUAGCUGGUGCACUCUUACAGUGUUGCCAGCUUCCGUUUGCUGGGUCUAACGUUGCCAGCUAUGUCCCCUAAGCACUUUUCAGUGCUUACAUAACAAUGAGAUAAAUACGAGCUUAAUUGUUGCAUUAAUUAGAUAAAUAAGCAUCAGUUGUGUUCAUUCCUUCCGGGUGUUUGUCUGUUGGGUGAAGAAUCUCUCGGCGGUUUUGUAUCGUCUCGGUUUGCUUUGCGAGAACUCUGUCUUGGUACACAUAUACUCGAGUAAUAUCAACGCGCAGUAUAAUAUAUGAACGCAAUAACUUUUAAACUGCAAUGUCUACUUCAUUAAUUCCAUCUCUUUUGUAAUACAAAUUCCCUAGUUAUAGAUUAUAAUAAAACGUCAUGUAGCGUGAUUGGACGAUGGCCACGUCACAAUUACGCUACGACGUCGAUACGGUGGGUCAGAGCAUUGUCAUGACCCUGCGUUCGGUGCGGUUACGUCCGUUUGAUUGAGUUACUUAACGGUCAGGUUGUUGCGUGGACGUCGCCGCCAGUGAUGCUACGCUAGAUAUUUAGGUCACUGUCAAUGCGGUUCGUAACAACCUGAUGCAGUUUCGUAGCGGUCGAUGCGAUGCGUAACAUCCGGACGAUAUUAUAUUGUGUGAAGAUACGACGAGAGUAUCGCGGUACCAAGAUGUUUUCUCAAUAAGCGAACGUGUGAUGCAGGGCCGUUGUUGGCUUUGACUCCUUGCAGGUGGGCGCUUGGUGGCGUGCGCACGGCAAUAGUUUUGCAACAAUUUUCGUUUGUUGAUAUUUCAGUGUUAUGCAGUUAUAAAUGGGUUAUAUUUUUGUCUGUUGUAUUUUUUGUCAUAGGUUUCUUUUCCUUGUUUUGGGUAAGGUCUAUCCAGCAAGGGUUUCUCACCAGAGUAGAAACCCACUACCAUUGGCUGGGG